AAAGUUUAAAAAGUUCAUAAAACAAAAAUCAAAAAAUAAAAUUAAAAUUAAAAUGAAGAGGUUGCCAAAGAAGUAGGCACUCAAGAUGACUUGGGAUAAAUCGAAUACCUCUGAAGAUGUCAUGCAAACCAACAAAGACAAAGUGGUGAACUAUGCCUUGGUGGCUCUCGAAGAUGAGGUAAAAGAAUCACCCAAAACCCCUUUACUUUACUAUGAGAUUACUUUAUGCUUUUCAUGAGUUGUUUUAAAAUUAGUUAGUAAGAAAUAAAAAUAUGUUAAAAAAUUAUUCUUCUCUUUCUAUUGAUUUUUUAAAUAUAUAAAAAAAUAAAAAUAAAAAUAAAAAUAUGUAAAAAAAAUAUGUUAACUUCUAGCAUUAAGCAUAAAGAGUUCGAUUCACUUAAAAAGAAAAAUGUAUUACCAAAACAAACAAAAUGAUUUUGAUUGAA
rnacentral:lncRNA from 1 species